rnacentral:lncRNA from 1 species
CUAUAACCACCCUCACCCCAUUUCCACCCCCACCCCAUCACCCUCUCCAACUCAUUCCUACCCCCACCCCAUCAUCACAUCCAUCACAUUGUCACCUCUGUUUUAUUGUCACCCCCACCCCAUCAUCACAUCCAUCACAUUGUCACCUCUGUUUUAUUGUCACCCCCACCCCAUCGUCACGUCCAUCACGUUGUCACCUCCGUUUUAUUGUCACCCCCCCCACCCAUUGCCACCUCCGCCCCAUUGCCACCUCCGCCCCAUUGCCACCCCCGCCCCAUUAUGGCCACCCCCGCCCCAUUGUCACCUCUACCCCAUUGUCACCUCCACCCUACAGCCACCCCCGCCCCACUGUCACCUCUGUCCCUUUCCUACUUCUGUGUGAUGCCCAGCCCCACCACCUCCAUCCUGCAGCCCUGUCCCCUCGUGUCACCUCUGCUCCCCUUUGUGUUGUCCCCUCGUGUCACCUCUGCUCCCCUUCAUGAUGUCCCCACGUGUCACCCCUGGUCCCCUUUGUGUUGUCCCCUCAUGUCACCUCCAUUCCUUGUGAUGUCCCCUCGUGUCACCUUCACGAUGUCCCCGUGUGUCACCUCCGUUCUCCUUCACGAUGUCCCCGUGUGUCACCUCUGCUCCCCUUUAUGUUGUCCCCCCAUGUCACCUCACCUCCAUUCCUCCUGAUGUCCCCCCGUGUCACCUCCCCUCUCCUGUCACUGCGUGACCCCCCGAUGUCCCCACACGUCCCCUCCUGACCCCCCGAUGUCCCCACAGUUGUGUGUUACAACGGUGGCACCCACGACGGCAUCAAAUGCCUCUGCCUCUCCAACUUCUAUGGGCCGCAGUGCGAGUUCCCCAUCGACACCAUCGACACCUCCCUCUCGUCCUCCAGCACCACGGUGGCUGCGGCGGAUCUGGACGUCACCAUCACCAACUUCAACUACACCGAGGAGUUGGAGGACCAACAGUCGGAAGCGUUCCUCGAGUUUGGGGAGCACUUCCAGAAGGAGGUGAGAACCGUUCCUCGGGUGGGAGGAGGUUGGGGGGGUCACUUCCGNNNNNNNNNNNNNNNNNNNNUUCCGGUUUUGGGGGUGUCACUUCCGGUGAUUGGGGUCUCACUUCCUGUUGUUGGGGUCUCGCUUCCCGUGGUUGGGGUCUCACUUCCAUCGGUUGGGGUGCCACAUCCGGAUUUGGGGCGCCACUUCCCGUUGUUGGGGUCUCACUUCCGGAUUUGGGGUGUCACUUCCUGCGGUUGGUGGUCUCACUUCCGGUGGUCUGGGUCUCGCUUCCAUCGGUUUGGGUGUCACUUCCGUAUUUGGGACGCCACUUCCCGAUGUUCGGGCGUCAUUUCCUGUUUGGCGGGAGCCACUUCCGGUGGCGGGGCGUCACUUCCGGUUUCAGUUUCGUUUCUGUUCGUCGGUUCCACAGAUCGGGAAAAUCUACGGCAGCGUCCCCAGCUACAAGGGGGUGAAGAUCCUCGACGUCGGGUGCG